AAUGUAUGACGCCGUUGACAUUUUAUCUAACGUUUGACCAUUUGUCUUAUUUAAAAAAUUUAUGUAAUUAUCAUUUAUUUUAUUGUGACUUGAUUUAUCAUCAAAUGUUCUUUAAGCAUGACAUAAAUGUUUUCAUAUUUAUACAAAAUUUUUAAAUAAAAUAAAUGAUCAAACGUUAGACAAAAAGUCAACGGCGUCAUACAUU
rnacentral:pre_miRNA from 1 species